UAUGAUUUUCUUUUCUAAUCCAAGUUAUAAAAACAUAGCUCGUAUUUCUUUUCACCCCUAAAAAAGCUCGUAUUUCUUUUCUUCUCAAGAAAAAAAGUACGUAAUAAAAUACGUAGCUCAUAGGGUCUACAGGUUCUGAACUUAUCCUUAGGCCUCGUUCGAUCCCCACAGAACUCCCGAGCCGCCGACCCACAUGAGCCAUUUCUUCCGAUUUGCCGCCGGUGAAGAAAGGUGGGCGGGUGAGUCCAUGAGUCCGUAAGGUGUGAAUCCACGCCAACCUCGUUGAGUCUAGCGGAGCGGCAGGGAGGGCCAUUGCGAGCGCGGCGCGCUGCUGAACCGGCGGCUAGUGGCUGUGGUGGAGAUGCUGGAGGUUGGUGGCACCGAGGAGGCGGUGAGGGAGCACCGGUUCACGGAUUUUCUGGACGAAAUCAUGCGAUUCGGUCUAAGUUUGUUGGUGGCAAGGCAACAAUGUCAGCGCAACAAAUGUCCCAAAAAGAAUGGUUGUUCGGAUGGAGGAUGCUGAAGAAUGGCUGGAUGGACAGAGGAUGGCCUGCUGCGAUGGUCCAUGGGAGGUAUGGGGGUAACAGAGGCAAGAUGCAUAUAAGGAGACCGUUGGAUAAUCAAAUAGCAGCAAGAUGUUAGUGGCUUCUGGGGACGGCAUGGCUCCUACAAAAUGUGAAGUACCAGCUAAUGGUAUGCAAUCUUCCAUUGUGGUUCCUCCAUAUCACUAUUGAGUAUGUUUUUUAGUUUUUUUUUACGGGUUGAUAUUUUUUUAGUUGUUGUUCCUAUGUGUUAGUAAGAAAGCUUUCAUUUAUCUCCAUGAUUGUAAAGCCGGUGAUCCCCAGCA